rnacentral:rRNA from 1 species
AUUGAACGCUGGCGGCAGGCCUAACACAUGCAAGUCGAGCGGAUGAAGGGAGCUUGCUCCUGGAUUCAGCGGCGGACGGGUGAGUAAUGCCUAGGAAUCUGCCUGGUAGUGGGGGAUAACGUCCGGAAACGGGCGCUAAUACCGCAUACGUCCUGAGGGAGAAAGUGGGGGAUCUUCGGACCUCGCGCUAUCAGAUGAGCCUAGGUCGGAUUAGCUAGUUGGUGGGGUAAAGGCCUACCAAGGCGACGAUCCGUAACUGGUCUGAGAGGAUGAUCAGUCACACUGGAACUGAGACAUGGUCCAGACUCCUACGGGAGGCAGCAGUGGGGAAUAUUGGACAAUGGGCGAAAGCCUGAUCCAGCCAUGCCGCGUGUGUGAAGAAGGUCUUCGGAUUGUAAAGCACUUUAAGUUGGGAGGAAGGGCAGUAAGUUAAUACCUUGCUGUUUUGACGUUACCAACAGAAUAAGCACCGGCUAACUUCGUG